GCUCAGACUGCGCAUGCCAAUAACGAUGAAGCAGGAAGUCAUCUUUCUCUGUGGAAGAACAACGAAGGAGGACGCAUGGAGGUUGUAUGCGCUCGCACCAAUAUUAUUUUUAUGAGCAACAACUUGUUGUGUUCCCCGUUCAGGCAACAGCAUUCAUGGACUUGAAGGAGCCAGACACGGAUGCAUCCUUUGUUGUACUGGAGUUUUUCUUUUGGGGACAGAUGGUGCUGGCUAUGCCAAUAGUGUACCGAGGUUUGAUUGGCUGGCAGGGUACUGAAGAUGCUGUAAGAGAUCUAUACCAGGGGUGUCACUCAUUCCAUAGAGAGCCUAGUGUCUGUGGGUUUUGGGUUUUCCUUUCAGUUAAGGCUUAGACAACCAGGUGAUGGCGUGACCAUAACUCGUCAAUCAAGUACAGGGAGCAGCGAAAACCUGCAUACACUCUGCCCUUCGUGCAAUGAGUUUGACACGCAAUCUACAUCUUGUUUUUGAGUUAAUGGGCCAGGAUGUAUAUUGAAGACUGAUGUAGAUAUUGCCCUGUGAUUGGGUUUGAUGAUCCAGUAUGUGGAAUAUGAAGACUUAAAUCUCAACCCUAUGGUGAGUGUGAGGGCUAAAUAGCCAAUUGGUUUCCUUCAGUCUUCUACUGGAGUUGUGAUGACUUCUCACUUUUCCUGUUUACUGAUCUGACUAAAUUGGGAUGCUGUGACUAACUGAACUGCCAAUAUUAGCAUUGAUCAUUAUAGGUAGAUGCUGCGAUAUGGUAUAGAUGCAGCGAGUAAAGGGGAUAGUGGGUCAAUUUCCACAACUGAGUGUUGAAGCGUGAGCAUCUUGCUUAGCUCAAUAUCUGCGGUGCACCUCGUGGCAUUUUGCGGGGACUACCUUCAAUCAUUAAACCUGCAAUCCCUGACUAAGGUUUGAGACUCUUAUUUCAUCAUGCAGGAUUGUUAUUUCCUGGGUUGAGGUGUCAACUAUGAUUUUUCUACCCGUGUUCAUUCAUUUGAAAUGGAAUUGAUGCCUUUUCUGCUAAUUUACCCUGCUGAAAAGCCAUUCAUUUGAAUUACCAGCAUUGUAACUAAACCCACGAUGGUAGAAAGUUCUAGGUUGAUGGCUAAUCUCAUUAGACAAUGGUCAUUUAUUUAACUGAUUUCUUCUAUUCAUUGACAAUUCACAAGGUUUGGAAAACUCCUUACAAGACUAUCACCCUAUUUUCAACAUUCUUGCCUGUCAAAAAAGCACAACCUUGGUCUGACUCCCCUGCUUAAGGUUAAAUGUUUUUUAUUCUGCCCUGUUAUGAAAUAAAAUAUUUUAUGGUA